UCUGUAUGGGUAUAAUAUAAAGUCUAGCCUGCCCACUGAUGUAUUUUAAAGGGCCGCGGUAAUUUGACCGUGCGAAGGUAGCAUAAUCAAUAGCUUUUUAAUUGGGAGCUUGAAUGAAUGGCUGGACAAGAAAUUAACUGUCUCUAUUGAAGUUGUUGAAUUUUACUUUUAAGUGAAAAGGCUUAAAUGAAUUUAAGGGACGAUAAGACCCUAUAAAACUUUAUAGAUAGAGUUUUGUUUUUGAAUUAUGUAAUUAAAGUGAAUUAAGGUUAGUCUAUUAUGUUGGGGUGACAGGAAUAUAAUUUUAACUGUUUUUAAAAAAAAAUAAUUAUUUUUAGUGUUUGGUGAUCCUUUAUUAAGGAUUAUAAGAUAAAGUUACUUUAGGGAUAACAGCGUAAUUUUUUCUGAGAGUUCUUAUCGACGAAAGUAUUUGCGACCUCGAUGUUGAAUUAAGAUUUCUUUAGUAUGCAGAAGUACUAAUAGUAGGUCUGUUCGACCUUUGAAAUC
rnacentral:rRNA from 1 species